CUGUUGUGAUUCACCACUCGCUCGCAUCAGGCAUCAGUUAACAUGCUCAUUUCCCCUCUCUGAUUGCGCUUCCCUGAACCACUCCUAAAUGGCAUGGAUAUGCAUAUCCCUUUCCAGGUGUCGCCCUCCUCUCCUUUUGCAUCCUUUAUUAUCCAAGUUUCUCUCAAAUACAUGUGUAUAUCAUGUAUGCAUGAACGACUGAUAAUCAAACUUCUUGCUGGAGUGUGUUGCUAUGCAUCAAUGGAUAAUGUACAGACAACUUCUUCCCCUCACGCACAUCACAACUCUAUUCUUUUUUUUGUUGCGAGGUACAUCACAACUCUAUUCAGGUGAGAGUACUUUCCAGCUGCAAAUUUUAUAUUAUUCUUCCCGGCUGCAGUUAUAUCACCUGAUAGCUUAGUACUAAUAAUCUGUCUAAUCGACCUGACAUUUACCCAUGCAUGUUAGAUACUCAAGACAUUUUCUGCAAAUAAUCAAGCCAUAUUUCUUAAGAUCUAUACAAUGUUGUGUGCUCAGAUUACACAAGCCAGUUAUGGAGUUCCUUCUGGAGUUCUGCCACAUCAAUAUUUCCAUUACAUCAAGAUUUUAAGUUGAUCUAAUCUUAUUCCUGAAUGCUUUGUUCCAUACCUUACAGGACGGCUAACUCAAUUCUAUUUUUGUAUGCAACUAUAGUGCAAUGGCCGAAACCAUGUCUUAUGCUUCAUCUACAGGAUCGGGUUUCUUACAAUUUUGCUUUUUAUUUUAUACAAUGGAAGUCAUAGCAAUUUUCUUAUUCCAGCGAAUGGAUGCAUUCCAUAAUACAGUUUCAGUCCUUUAGACACUUCCACGGAUUAUUGACGGGGUAUUUUUUUAUAUCUGUUAUUGACUUGCAGCUUGCAAAUUGAUAACUGUACAUUGACCAUUAAUGUAUGCUUGAUUAUCAUACUGAUUGAUUUCUCUUCUACCAUGCAACGUGUUUGCGGGCAUUUCUAAUUAAAGCCUCUUUAGUCAUUUCUGCACUUCAAGGUGUGCAAUCCCUGAUUAAAAAUGUUUGAUAUUGUCCUUAAUAACUAUAGUUUUCCAUUUAUGAAUUAAUUACCAAAUAAACCAAUAGCCACAUUAGUUCCACUGAU
rnacentral:lncRNA from 1 species